rnacentral:rRNA from 1 species
GAUGAACGCUAGCGGGAGGCUUAACACAUGCAAGUCGAGGGGCAGCAUAGGGUAGCAAUACUCUGAUGGCGACCGGCAAACGGGUGAGUAACGCGUAUGCAACCUACCCUGUACAGGGGGAUAACCCGGAGAAAUUCGGACUAAUAUCCCGUAAUAAUAUCCGGAGGCAUCUUUGGAUAUUUAAAGUUCCGACGGUACGGGAUGGGCAUGCGUAACAUUAGCUGGUUGGUAAGGUAACGGCUUACCAAGGCUAUGAUGUUUAGGGGUCCUGAGAGGGUGGUCCCCCACACUGGUACUGAGACACGGACCAGACUCCUACGGGAGGCAGCAGUGAGGAAUAUUGGUCAAUGGGCGCAAGCCUGAACCAGCCAUCCCGCGUGCAGGAAGACGGCCCUAUGGGUUGUAAACUGCUUUUCCAGGGAGAGAAACUUACGCACGUGUUGCGUGACUGACGGUACCCUGGGAAUAAGCAUCGGCUAACUCCGUGCCAGCAGCCGCGGUAAUCUAGUCUACGC